AGUGAACGCUGGCGGUAGGCCUAACACAUGCAAGUCGAACGGCAGCACAGUAAGAGCUUGCUCUUACGGGUGGCGAGUGGCGGACGGGUGAGGAAUACAUCGGAAUCUACUUUUUCGUGGGGGAUAACGUAGGGAAACUUACGCUAAUACCGCAUACGACCUACGGGUGAAAGCAGGGGAUCUUCGGACCUUUCGCGAUUGAAUGAGCCGAUGUCGGAUUAGCUAGUUGGCGGGGUAAGGGCCCACCAAGGCGACGAUCCGUAGCUGGUCUGAGAGGAUGAUCAGCCACACUGGAACUGAGACACGGUCCAGACUCCUACGGGAGGCAGCAGUGGGGAAUAUUGGACAAUGGGCGCAAGCCUGAUCCAGCCAUACCGCGUGGGUGAAGAAGGCCUUCGGGUUGUAAAGCCCUUUUGUUGGGAAAGAAAAGCAGCAGGUUAAUACCCCGCUGUUCUGACGGUACCCAAAGAAUAAGCACCGGCUAACUUCGUG
rnacentral:rRNA from 1 species